rnacentral:rRNA from 1 species
GGAAGAACACCAGUGGCGAAGGCGCUCUGCUGGGCCAUCACUGACGCUCAUGGACGAAAAGCCAGGGGAGCGAAAGGGAUUAGAUACCCCUGUAGUCCUGGCCGUAAACGAUGAACACUAGGUGUCGGGGGAAUCGACCCCCUCGGUGUCGUAGCCAACGCGUUAAGUGUUCCGCCUGGGGAGUACGCACGCAAGUGUGAAACUCAAAGGAAUUGACGGGGGCCCGCACAAGCGGUGGAGUAUGUGGUUUAAUUCGAUGCAACGCGAAGAACCUUACCAGGGUUUGACAUCCUGCGAAUCUCUUGGAAACAGGAGAGUGCCUUCGGGAACGCAGUGACAGGUGGUGCAUGGCUGUCGUCAGCUCGUGUCGUGAGAUGUUGGGUUAAGUCCCGCAACGAGCGCAACCCACGUCUUUAGUUGCCAGCAUUUAGUUGGGCACUCUAGAGAGACUGCCGGUGAUAAACCGGAGGAAGGUGUGGAUGACGUCAAGUCAUCAUGCCCCUUACAUCCUGGGCUACACACGUACUACAAUGCUACGGACAAAGGGCAGCAAGUUCGCGAGGACAAGCAAAUCCCAUAAACCGUGGCUCAGUUCAGAUCGUAGGCUGCAACUCGCCUACGUGAAGGCGGAAUCGCUAGUAAUCGCAGGUCAGCAUACUGCGGUGAAUACGUUCCCGGGCCUUGUACACACCGCCCGUCACACCAUGGAAGUUGGCCACGCCCGAAGCCGUUACUCCAACCCUU